AGAGUUUGAUCCUGGCUCAGAACGAACGCUGGCAGCGUGGAUUAGGCAUGCAAGUCGAACGGGAACCCUGGGUGUAGCAAUACAUCCGGGGGGAUAGUGGCGUAAGGGUGAGUAACACGUGGGCAAUCUGCCCUCAAGAUGGGGAUAACCUGGCGAAAGCUGGGCUAAUACCGAAUGUGGUCACCGGGCGCGAGCCUGGAUGACUGAAGGCGGGGAUCUCGCAAGAGUCCUGUCGCUUGAGGAGGAGCCCGCGUCCUAUCAGCUAGUUGGUGAGGUAACGGCUCACCAAGGCUAUGACGGGUAGCUGGUCUGAGAGGAUGGUCAGCCACAUUGGGACUGAGAUACUGCCCAGACUCCUACGGGAGGCUGCAGUCGAGGAUCAUUCGCAAUGCGCGAAAGCGUGACGAUGCGACGCUGCGUGGAGGAUGAAGGCCUUCGGGUCGUAAACUCCUGUCAUUCGGGAUCAAUGCCACGGGAAAUAACACUUCCUGUGGAGGGAUAGUACCGGAAGAGGAAGUCACGGCUAACUCUGUGCCAGCAGCCGCGGUAAUACAGAGGUGGCAAGCGUUGUUCGGAUUUACUGGGCGUAAAGGGUGCGUAGGCGGUUUUGCGUGUCGGGUGUGAAAUUCUGCUGCUCAAUGGCAGAGCUGCGCCCGAAACUACAGAACUGGAGUGCAGGAGAGGAAAGCGGAAUUCUUGGGGUAGCGGUGGAAUGCGUUGAUAUCAAGAAGAACACCGGUGGCGAAGGCGGCUUUCUGGAAUGCAACUGACGCUGAGGCACGAAAGUUGGGGGAGCAAACAGGAUUAGAUACCCUGGUAGUCC
rnacentral:rRNA from 1 species